CCCGCCAGACGAAUUGGCGCGAAUCUGAAUCUCGUCUCUUCUAAUAUUUCUUCCGUUGGUAGAAGUAGCCCUAGAUCUCUCUCCCGCCUUUUUCUGUCACUGGAUUGCCCUGUUUCGCCUUCUGCUCGUUGAUCUCCUUCCUCCUCCGUCGUCUGUCAGCCUCGACGCCAGCGAUUGAAAGAGUCCUAUCACUGGAGAAGCAUUAUCUCUGUUCAGCGAGGGGAAGAAUUAUACUUAUCGAAUGGAAUUAAGAAGUUUCAGUCAUUUGCAUUAUAUCAAUGACACUAAAGGUGGUGCGAUGUCAAAAGUUCUAAACGUCAACUCCCAUGGAAAGCCUGCAGUCGUAUUUAAGAGGCUUACUGACAUAUAUGAAUCUAUAGAUGACAAGACUCAAGAAUCACUUCCAAGACGAUGGUCGAGAGAAGGUUUGGAAGAAAAUAUUCCUGAUGAAUGUGAGUUUAAGGUGGAAACCCAAGUUCUUUACGCAGAAAGAAAACUAUUCAAUGAUGAGCCCGAGGUUUCUGAUUCUGACAAUAAAGGUGAUACCGAUGGGGAACAGAGUGAUGUAGAAGUUGAUAACAUGACUUUAAAGCAGAUAAUGGAAGGCUGCAAGAAAAGAAAGUUGAGGCAGUCGAGAUCCGUUGACUCAAGUAAGGAAAAACCGGGGACAUGUUCCAGACUAGAACCAGAUCAUGCAUGCUUGUUAUCUGAUGAGGAUGAUAGUGAUCUUAAUGUAGCUCUUAGCAUCUGGAAAUCCAAACUUUCUAAAUGUAGAAAAUUGAAAACCAAAUGUGACGAAGGUAGAAUAUCUACUAGUUCACAUUGCGGCCAAACAAUUGGAAAUUCUGACCCGAUCAACAGUGAUCAAGAUCUCCAUCCAUCUGGUUCAGAUCUACCCGUUCCAGUAGACAUUAAAGUUGAAACUCCUGAACCCGAUGUGACAGAAAUCCAAAGCACAAACUAUAAAAUUGAUGAGUGGUCUCUAUUUUGUGAUGAAAAUAUAAACUCGUGUCUGAAACACGGGCCUAAUGGAGCUGAUGAAUCAAUUUUUUAUCCAAAGUUGACAACAUCUGAGAAAGAAGCUGAAUAUUGUGUUCUAAACAGUGCAUGCCAUGAAUAUUUGGAAGAUGAUGAACCCAAAACUCUUCAGAUGGUAGGGGAAUCUAGCAACGAGUGGAUGUAUGAAGAUAACCUGGAGGUACAUAAACCCCAUUAUUCAGAUUUUCCUGCAUCAGAGAGCCUGGAGGGGCAAUGUACCCCAGGUUAUAUAUCCAAUUACAGCAUGUCAGAAGCUAUUUCCUCGACUAAGGAACAGCUCUCUGGCACUUAUAUUACAAACGAGGUCAUAUUUCAGAAUAAUAGUGAAGAUAUGUCUGAAGCAAUUGCCCCGACCGAGGAACAGUGCUGUGACACUUAUAUUUCACAAUGUAUACCCUUUACACACGAGGUCAUAAGUCUGAAUAAUCUGAAUAGCCUCAAAGUCCAAGAGACGAGCCCUGAAGGUGAAGUAUGUUUAACUGAGAUCAGUUAUAAAGACAAGUCGGCAUUUGUUCACGAAAAAGGUAUUCCAACAGAAUCUAACAGUAAUUGUAACUUGCGCCCUGAUCAUGGAAAAAGUAUUUCAACAAAUUCUGUCAGUGAUGGUAACUUAAGUCCUGAUCAGCAUUUGAUAUCUACUGGCGAAUGUCCAGCUACGGAGAGACAACCACAAAUGUCUAAUUAUUAUGAUUCAGAAAGAAAUACUCCACCAGAUUUUCAUCUUGAUGGUUCUUUGGACACAUUUAAUCAAACUGAAGAACCCAAACGACAUCCAAUAAGGCUGCUGUUAAAGAGAACAUCCAUUUCUCCAACAUCUCAGAAAAGAUUGUCGAAGGGUAUGAGGUCUAUGCAGUUACAUGACAAAGAAUACAAAACAUGUAGUGGCAAACCAUAUUUCAACCAAAUCAAGUACAGGGAUGGCUCAACUGAAGAGUGUGACCAGAUGAAGAGAGUGUAUUCCGAUAUAUAUCAUAAGAAAAAUAUUAGGAAAUCAAAGAAGAGAAGUCUUCACUCAGCGAGCACUGCUAAAGUUCCUCAAGCUAGCAUGAGAAGCACUGCUGUCCAAAAUUGUUCAGACAGUGCAAUUGCAUUCACACAAAGGCAGAUGCAGGACAUAGAAUGUCUUGCUCUGAAACUUACAAAUCAGUUAACGUCAAUGAAAGCAAUUGUUGACGACAGACUUCAUGUUGAAGGAAACCAAGCUACAAGCUUCAAGUUUAACACGGAUGAGGUGCGAACGGCCAUUGCAGACGCCACGAAAGCGGAAGCGCAAGCAAGAAAAUGGCUUUCCAUAAUGUCGAGGGACUGCAACCGCUUUUGUAAAAUAAUGAAAACAACCGAGCAUGGUUCAAAUGUUUCUUCUCUAACUGCAAUCCAGAAGGUGAAGAGGAAGAUUACAUUUGCUGAUGAAGCUGGUGGAAAGCUUUGUGAAGUUAGGUUGAUCGAGGACGGCAUCAAGUAACUUCGUAAAGCCUUUCUACUUGGUUAUUUACUUAUACUGAAUCAUUGUUCUCUUGAGAUUUUUUUUUUUUUUGUAAAUUCCCAUGUCUCAUAUAAAAUAAAGUGCAGCCAAUGGAUUCUAUUGAGGAAAUUAAAUCAUUUUUAUCGUUCCUUUUUCCACA